CCUACGGGAGGCAGCAGUGAGGAAUAUUGGUCAAUGGGCGGAAGCCUGAACCAGCCAAGUCGCGUGAGGGAAUAAGGCCCUACGGGUCGUAAACCUCUUUUGCCGGGGACGAAGCCAGUGACGGUACCUGCCGAAUAAGCCACGGCUAACUACGUGCCAGCAGCCGCGGUAAUACGUAGGUGGCAAGCGUUAUCCGGAUUUACUGGGUGUAAAGGGCGUGUAGGCGGGGAAGCAAGUCAGAUGUGAAAACCACGGGCUAAACCUGUGGCCUGCAUUUGAAACUGUUUUUCUUGAGUGCUGGAGAGGCAAUCGGAAUUCCGUGUGUAGCGGUGAAAUGCGUAGAUAUACGGAGGAACACCAGUGGCGAAGGCGGAUUGCUGGACAGUAACUGACGCUGAGGCGCGAAAGCGUGGGGAGCAAACAGGAUUAGAUACCCCAGUAGUC
rnacentral:rRNA from 1 species